UACGUAGGGACCAAGCGUUGUUCGGAUUUACUGGGCGUAAAGGGCGCGUAGGCGGCGCGGUAAGUCACUUGUGAAAUCUCUGAGCUUAACUCAGAACGGCCAAGUGAUACUGCAGUGCUAGAGUGUGGAAGGGGCAAUCGGAAUUCUUGGUGUAGCGGUGAAAUGCGUAGAUAUCAAGAGGAACACCGGUGGCGAAGGCGGGUCUCUGGGCAACAACUGACGCUGAGGAGCGAAAGCGUGGGGAGCGAACAGG
rnacentral:rRNA from 1 species